rnacentral:rRNA from 1 species
AUGGCUCAGGAUGAACGCAGCGAUAGGCCUAACACAUGCAAGGUCGAGGGGCAGCACAUGAGUAGCAAUACGAUGGUGGCGACCGGCGCACGGGUGAGUAACACGUAUGCAACCUACCUCUAACAGGGGGAUAACCCGUGAAAGACGGACUAAUACCCCAUAAUACAGGGGCUCCGCAUGGAGAUAUUUGUUAAAGAUUUUUAUCGGUUAGAGAUGGGCAUGCGUUCCAUUAGCUAGUUGGUGAGGUAACGGCUCACCAAGGCGACGAUGGAUAGGGAACUGAGAGGUUUAUCCCCCACACUGGAACUGAGACACGGUCCAGACUCCUACGGGAGGCAGCAGUGAGGAAUAUUGGUCAAUGGAGGCAACUCUGAACCAGCCAAGUCGCCGUGAAGGAUGAAGGUCUUAUGGAUUGUAAACUUCUUUUGACAGGGGAAUAAAUAGCGGUACGUGUACCGUUUUGCGUGUACCCUGCGAAUAAGGAUCGGCUAACUCCGUGCCAGCAGCUGC